AGUGAACGCUGGCGGUAGGCCUAACACAUGCAAGUCGAACGGCAGCACAGUAAGAGCUUGCUCUUACGGGUGGCGAGUGGCGGACGGGUGAGGAAUACAUCGGAAUCUACUUUUUCGUGGGGGAUAACGUAGGGAAACUUACGCUAAUACCGCAUACGACCUACGGGUGAAAGCAGGGGAUCUUCGGACCUUGCGCGAGUGAAUGAGCCGAUGUCGGAUUAGCUAGUUGGCGGGGUAAAGGCCCACCAAGGCGACGAUCCGUAGCUGGUCUGAGAGGAUGAUCAGCCACACUGGAACUGUGACACGGUCCCGACUCCUACGGGAGGCCGCAGUGGGGAAUAUUGGACAAUGGGCGAAAGCCUGAUCCAGCCAUACCGCGUGGGUGAAGAAGGCCUUCGGGUUGUAAAGCCCUUUUGUUGGGAAAGAAAAGCAGCAGGUUAAUACCCCGCUGUUCUGACGGUACCCAAAGAAUAAGCACCGGCUAACUUCGUG
rnacentral:rRNA from 1 species